AUACGUAGGGUGCGAGCGGUGUCCGGAAUUACUGGGAGUAAAGAGCUCGUAGGUGGUUUGUCGCGUCGUCUGGGAAAUUCCGGGGCUUAACUCCGGGCGUGCAGGCGAUACGGGCAUAACUUGAGUACUGUAGGGGAGACUGGAAUUCCUGGGGUAGCGGUGAAAUGCGCAGAUAUCAGGAGGAACACCGGUGGCGAAGGCGGGUCUCUGGGCAGUAACUGACGCUGAGGAGCGAAAGCAUGGGUAGCGAACAGGAUUAGAUACCCUGGUAGUCCAUGCCGUAAACGGUGGGCGCUAGGUGUAGGGGUCUUCCACGACUUCUGUGCCGUAGCUACCGCAUUAAGCGCCCCGCCUGGGGAGUACGGCCGCAAGGCUAAAACUCAAAGGAAUUGACGGGG
rnacentral:rRNA from 1 species